AUUGAACGCUGGCGGCAGGCCUAACACAUGCAAGUCGAACGGUAACAGGAAGACGCUUGCUUCUUUGCUGACGAGUGGCGGACGGGUGAGUAAUGUCUGGGAAACUGCCUGAUGGAGGGGGAUAACUACUGGAAACGGUAGCUAAUACCGCAUAACGUCGCAAGACCAAAGAGGGGGACCUUCGGGCCUCUUGCCCUCGGAUGUGCCCAGAUGGGAUUAGCUAGUAGGUGGGGUAACGGCUCACCUAGGCGACGAUCCCUAGCUGGUCUGAGAGGAUGACCAGCCACACUGGAACUGAGACACGGUCCAGACUCCUACGGGAGGCAGCAGUGGGGAAUAUUGCACAAUGGGCGCAAGCCUGAUGCAGCCAUGCCGCGUGUAUGAAGAAGGCCUUCGGGUUGUAAAGUACUUUCAGCGGGGAGGAAGGGAGUAAAGUUAAUACCUUGACUCAUUGACGUUACCCGCAGAAGAAGCACCGGCUAACUCCGUG
rnacentral:rRNA from 1 species